rnacentral:rRNA from 1 species
CCUACGGUGUGCAGCAGUGGGGAAUAUUGGACAAUGGGGGGAACCCUGAUCCAGCGACGCCGCGUGAGUGAAGAAGUAUCUCGGUACGUAAAGCUCUAUCAGCAGGGAAGAAAAUGACGGUACCUGACUAAGAAGCCCCGGCUAACUACGUGCCAGCAGCCGCGGUAAUACGUAGGGGCAAGCGUUAUCCGGAUUUACUGGGUGUAAAGGGAGCGUAGACGCCAGCACAAGCCUGGAGUGAAAUCCCGGGGCUUAACCCCGGAACUGCUUUGGAAACUGGGCGGCUGGGGUGCAGGAGGGGUAAGGGGGAUUCCUAGUGUAGCGGGGGAAUGCGUAGAUAUUAGGAGGGACACCGGGGGCGAAGGCGGCUUACUGGACUUUAACUGACGUUGAGGCUCGAAAGCGUGGGGAGCAAACAGGAUUAGAUACCCUGGUAGUC